GACGAACGCUGGCGGCGUGCUUAACACAUGCAAGUCGAACGAAGAGCGACGGAAGCUUGCUUCUAUCACUCUUAGUGGCGAACGGGUGAGUAACGCGUAAUCAACCUGCCCUUCAGAGGGGGACAACAGUUGGAAACGACUGCUAAUACCGCAUACGAUCUAACCUCGGCAUCGAGGAUAGAUGAAAGGUGGCCUCUACAUGUAAGCAUUCACUGAAGGAGGGGAUUGCGUCUGAUGAGCUAGUCGGCGGGGUAACGGCCCACCAAGGCGAGGAUCAGUAGCCGGUAGGAGAGGAAGGGCAGCCGGAGUGAGAGGGAGACAGGGCCCAGAGUGCUAGGGGAGGGAGCAGGAGGGAAUCGGGCGGAAGGGGGGGAGGACUGGGGGAGAAGGGCGGCGGGAGGGAGGAGGGACUUCGGGUGGGGGAGCUCGGUUGAUCGGGAGGAAAGGCCUUCUUGCGAAGAGGGAGAAGGAGUGACGGUAGCGGAAGAGGAAGCCACGGCUAACUACGUG
rnacentral:rRNA from 1 species